AGAUCUCUGGAUAAACAGUCUUAUAAGGCCUUGGCUACACUUGCGAGUUAGAGCGUAUUAAAGGAGCCCCGGUCACCCUAGCUCACUACCCGUCCACACUAGCAAGGCAUGUAGAGUGCUCUGACUCCACGGAAAGAGCG